rnacentral:rRNA from 1 species
CAACGCGAAGAACCUUACCAACUCUUGACAUCCCAUUGACCGCUUGAGAGAUCAAGUUUUCCCUUCGGGGACAAUGGUGACAGGUGGUGCAUGGUUGUCGUCAGCUCGUGUCGUGAGAUGUUGGGUUAAGUCCCGCAACGAGCGCAACCCCUAUCCUUAGUUGCCAGCAUUCAGUUGGGCACUCUAGGGAGACUGCCGGUGACAAACCGGAGGAAGGUGGGGAUGACGUCAAAUCAUCAUGCCCCUUAUGAGUUGGGCUACACACGUGCUACAAUGGACGGUACAAAGGGCAGCGAGACCGCGAGGUGGAGCCAAUCCCAUAAAGCCGUUCCCAGUUCGGAUUGCAGGCUGCAACUCGCCUGCAUGAAGUCGGAAUCGCUAGUAAUCGCAGGUCAGCAUACUGCGGUGAAUACGUUCCCGGGUCUUGUACACACCGCCCGUCACACCACGAGAGUUUGCAACACCCGAAGCCGGUGAGUAACNACAAGGAGC